GUUUGCAUCUCCGAAUCCCAAACCCCCAACCCAUUCCUCCCCACCUCUUGGCAACCACAAGUCUAUAGAAACAAGACAAUUUUAAAGCAAAAAUAAGCUGGAAAAAAAGGAAAAAGUCCUCAACUAUCCGCCUCCCGCAUGUCCCAAAGUCCUCCAGCGUCUGGGGUCACAUCUUCCUUCGAGUCCAGUAAAGUCCUCGUGUUUCUGACCCCGCACUGCCCGGUCCUGUGCGCAGAGGACGGGGCCCUUUGCUCUCACCGGCUCGGGGCUAAUGGAAGACCCAGGUGACGCUGCCCUCCGAGGGCAUCGACCAGGGCAAAAGCCCGUGUCCUCUACGCCUGGGCCUCUGACGGGCCCCUUCUCCCCCGCUGGCCCUGGGCUCUUUGUCCACGUCCCCAGCUGCUUUCCUCCAGGGCCUCCGUCGCGAGGUUGGGGCUUUUCCCGAUUUCAGGAUCCUUCGUCACGUUCUCUAUCUUUUUGGUGUUUUGGGGUGUGAUUUAUGUAAGAACGCAUAUAAAUUGUGCGUAUGCAUUAUUAGGUCAUUUUUUUCUUCUGGAUCCAGGAUGAAGCAAAACCCUGCCCCGUUCCUGGGAUUUAUCAGAGCCCACGGACAGGGAGUCUCUUAUCCUCGGUCUGUUCGCAGCGGCCCGUCUGUAGCCCAGAUGACACUAAACUCUCGUGUCAGAGCUCUCACGUCACUGGAAUGUCCACCCAGCUCUGGAGACUCCUGGGAAAGAAAUCCCAUCUUGUCAGAGGUUCAGGAAGGACCCAUGGGCAUCAACCGAUGGUCCCUCAGAACCCUGCAGGGCGCCAGUGAGUCUCAUGGCCUUGAAAACCCUCUUAGACUCAGGAGACUUUGGUGGCGCGUCUGGUGUUUGUUCAUGGCUCAUAUUUGACAACUGGCUCCUUCUGAAAAAGCGCCGAACCUGCAGAAGCUGCCAUGUGGCUGCAGGGGUCACCUUGGUCCCUAGUGGGGGAGGGGAGCUUGCUUUAAUCAGCUGCCUCUGAUUGUCACCCCGUGGGCUUCCGCCUCCGUUUCCACUCCAGGGCCUGCCUUCCCUCACCCAGCUUUUCCGCCUUAAUCUGAACGGGUCUUUCUCCCGUUUCAAGAGGCCUGGUUUGGUGCAUAGUGAAAGCGUUGGGCCCUGGAGAGGGUCAUGGGAGGCUCUGUCCCGGUCAGAGUCAGCUUUCCCCACUCACCUGCGGCCUGGUCCUCUGGGCGCCCAGCCACCAGCAACUCUGGUCCCCGGAGGUGAUCCAGGCACCAGGUACCGCCUUCCCCACAGCCCCUACUCUUCCCAUGUUCUAGGAGAAGGAUGGUUAUUAGGUGUUUCGUGAGCAUGUUACUGAUAUAUGACAUGAAAAAGGCAGGUCACAUGAAUCUUACGCCUUGGCUGGUACGUAUGUGUCUAUUUAUUCUAUAUAACAUAGAAUACAAGCAAGUAAUAUCUCCAAGUGGUGGGAUUUACAAGUAAUUGUUUUGUUUUUGAGGCCUUAUCUCUUCUUUCUAAACUUUUUACUAUGAACAUGGAUUAACUUCAUAAUGAAAAUAUUAUUUCAAAAGAAAGUGGAAAUUACUUGGGGAUACACAAUGAUUGUCUUAAAAUAUCUGAAGAAAUGUCACAUGAAAGAGGAAAAUUGUAAGUGGAACAGACAAAAAGGACAGAGUUUUCUCUUAGCAAAAUCAUCCAUAAAAAAGUUGGGCUUACUCAGAUGGUGGUGUGUUCUCUGCCAUAGGAGGACCCCUUGGCAGGUGGCAGGACUUCAAGUGCAGGAUUGAUGAUGGUAGCAGUGGUGGUGGUGGCGGUGAUGGUGGCGGCGGUGGUGGCGGUGGUGGUGAUGGCGGCGGCGGCGGCGGUGGUGGUGGUGACAAUGACAGGGAAGGUGAUGACGAUGGCGAUGAUGGUGACGAUACAAUCUUUAUGUUCAUGUUACGCCGACAGUGCCUGAGACGUUCCUUUGGCACCCUGCUGAUACUCAUCCGCCCCCUGUGGGGGCACCCAGGCGUUAUAUCCACUGCCCAGUGGGGCAGAUGAGGCAAGAGAAGAGGGUACUGCUGCCCCAGAGGCAGAGCUGAAGCUUGACCCAGGCCUUUCACUCCCCAGCCCAGGGCUCUGCCCUCUUCAUCUGAAAGUGGUGGUGCUUUGUGCAAACACACCUGGAAAGGCAUCUGGAAAGAAAGCUGUUUUCGUGGCUCCCACUGCAUGGGGCUGCCUCUCCGCAGGCUCAGAGAAGUGAGCCCCCCAGGACCAGCACAGCCUGGGGUGAGGAGCAGGCUUGCAGGGACUGAGGUGGAAGGAGUGUUUCUGGGCGGGAGCCGGUCUGCAGUGAGGGCGCCUGUGCCCGUAGGGCUGGGGACCUGCCCCUCCUCCAGCAGCAGGGGGCCUGAUCAGGUGACUGUGUUUCCUCAGGAUGGCCUGGCCACCCCAGGACCUGCCCUGGCGUUCCGCCCGCCUCUCCACGUCUUAGUCUGGCGCUUGGCUGUGGAUGCUUCCCUGGAUCCUCUCUGUGCUCCGCCUCUGCUUCCCGAGUUCAGCGGCCGCGGCAAGAAGGAAGACUUCAGAGGCCGGCCAGGAGAGCACCGGACGCAGGAGAGGGCGCUGCGAGCGCUGGCGCUGGGGCCAGGGAGCUCACGGCCCCUUCCCCGCAGAUCUCGGGCCUGCCGCCAUCACAGGGGUGGCACGGAGGUCGGAGGAAUGCUGGCCCUGCGCGGGAAGCCAGGCUCGCUGUUAAGCAACAGCACCAGACCUCUUUGUUUCUCCGCUUCUUCCAAAGUGGCAAAAGAUCAAGGCCCCGGCUUGAAACAACAAAAGGGAAAUAGCUUGCAGGCGCGCAUCUGGAGGCCAGAAGAGGUUUUAAUGGCCCUGCUUGGGAGGGAGCUGGGGAGGGGCCUGAGCACGGAUCCCACACCCUUCUCCACAUGCUCAGGACUCGGCUGGGCAUCCCACCCGCCGCUCAGGCGGCACCCACCUGGCGCAGCGCCUCCUUUGUGACCUGGCGGGUGGCGACUUGCACGUCCGCUGCCCCCGCGCCCGCCAGCUCCUCCCUGCAGGGUCUUGGCCUGGGAGCCUUGCAUUUCUCUGUCUCUGACGCCCACGUCAAACCUCCCCAGGUCCAGCUCGGGGCUGGCUGAGGCCCGGGUUAAUGAGGGUCGGGGUUAAUUAGGGUCGAGAGUGGCGUCGUGGCGGGCCGGCCAGGCUGAGACGGCGGUCGUCAGGCCAGGCUGAAGAAAGGCCGCUCAGAGCCCCGCAGACGUUUCUCGCGGCGGAUGAGAUGGGCCUUCUCCUGGGGGACGUCACCCCACGGCCCGAGUCAGCGGGAAGGGGGUGCAGGGGUGUCUUCCCUCAGAAAAGGAGGCCCUCUCUCCCUCUCUCUCUCUCCUGACCCUAAGGACGCUUCCGGAAGCCUCGGCAGGGAUGUUUGCAUAGCGCAUGGUUCUCUGGGCUGAAGUUUUCCCCAGAAAAGCCCUGAGAAGGGACCCCGCGGGUCCUGGAAGCGGGGAGGUGGGGCGGGCCUCCUGCUUCCUGCUCGGUGCACCGACGGUCCCCAGACAGCACCUGCUCACGCGGCGGCCGCGGCGCACACCACGCACACGGGCCACUCACCGAGCUUCCUUCCUCCACGUGUCGGGCACGGCCCACUGGAGCCACAUCUGUGCCCCACCCAGUGGUGUCCAGAGAAGCUGAUGUCGGGAGAUGCUUGGCGAGCUGUAGAAGGUCCCGGAGCUCGUCAGAGCCAGAGCUGAAUUUCGAAUCCAAACCUUCCUGACAACCAGCGCUUGGGCUUUCCAGAACUCCCUGUCUCCUGAGAUGGCAGGCAAACGAAUGACCUGACCUGGUCCAAGUUCUGACUCAGGAAGCAUACUUCCCUGCAAUGCAGUUUGGGUCUCAUCGCCUCCCACCUCAAACGCUGGCAGUAGCUCCCCUUUCUUGGCGGCCCUUUUGGAUGGCUGCAGUGAUGGAUGACCCAGGCCACCGAGGCUGCUCGGGGGCCCAGCCCUCGGUGGGAAGCCGACGUGGCAGAGGGAGGCAGAUGGAUGGGGCGCCCGUGUCCUCUGGCUCUGGGUGGGCGGGCGAAGCCAGGUUCCCGGGCUGUGCUGACAGGGCCUCAGGCCACUGCCCAGACUUUGAUUGGUUGGGUGCAAAUGAUCAAGGCAUCCUGUCCUGGACACCCCAGCUGGCACUGGGUGCUGCAGCUGGUGGGAGGGGGAGGAGGCGACACCCCAAACCAAACCCUGUCAACACCACGACCCAAGGCUGCCUGGGCAGGGCCGACCCUGGGUUCGGCAGAGCCAAGGGCCCUCCAGGUGGGCCUGAGCUGGAACGGGGGUGACCAGCCUUCCCAGCAGGACUCUCCCAGGAACCCAGUGCAUGGUGGGAUUUCCGGGUCAGUCUCGAGUUAGGAACCAGAAUAGCACCUUCCAGGACGUGACACAUGCAAAAAAGGCAGAGGCGUGGCCUGGGCAGGAGGAACUGGCCUGCUCGCACUGCGAAGACUGGAAGUAUGGGAGUUCCCUGGUGGCCUCGCCGUUAAGGACCUGGCACUGUCACUGCUGUGGCAUGGGUUCCAGCCUGGGCCUGGGAACUUCUGCAUGCUGCUGGUGCAGCCGAAGGAUAAAAAAAAUCCACGGAAGCAUGGUACUAAAUGGCCCGGCCUGUCAGGGUGGCGUUUAGAUCUGCACUGGGAAUCCCCUCGAGUGGAUUUCGGGCUACUCCACAGGGUGGGUGCAGCUCCCGUUGCCCAGGAGGCGGUGCUGGGUUGGCGAGCGUGUCAAGCCGAGAGCUCAGCUGGCCCAAGGGGUAGAGCUGGGCCCAUGGAUCCUCCUGGUUCUUGGACUGCUGUUCCUGGGUCGGUUUUUUACUGAUUGAAUUUACUGGAAUGUCCUGCGGUUAGCAUGUUCCGGGAGGCCUUAUCUUGGGCUGACUUUGCUGUCCUCCCAGGCCUCUGUCCCCUUGCCUUCCUCUGUCUGGGCUGAUGACUCUCCACGCCUCUCUGCGGCCAAAAGCUCUUGUCAUAGGCCCCAGGCAGGUGAGCUCCUCACUUAGGGGGCCGUUCUCACUGGCUAGAGCCUGGGCAGGGGACAGGGAGGGUCUUGGCCAAGCUCUCUGGACAUGUUCUAGACCUACGAGGUCUGCGGUGGCCCCCAGGCCCCUCUGCUGCUCAAAGCCACACAUGUCCCCAGGCGUGGACUGUUUGCUGAGGUUCCUUGGGGAAAACCAGGCCGCCUUCUUCUCCGAGGGCCCAGUCCCAAGCCAGAGCCGCAUCCUGGCUUCUCACCUCUGUGUGGCAUCGACGUGCCCUCUGCUUUACGUCCUGCAGCAUUCCUGCCGAUUUCAGUGCUGCGGGAAGUACAUCUUAGUUCCCUGUUUAUUGUGUCAUUUGAAUGGGAUUUGUGGUAGAAGGUGGAGAUACUGCAGCCCAGCACUUUGAACUGGAAGAGCACAAGGUGAAAUUCAAGUGGGUCGUGAAAUUAGGAGAAGAGAAUAAAGUCCAAGGAGCCUCACAGUGCAGAUUCUUGUAGCCCAUCGGCUCGUAGUGACACAACAGCAUGCUGAGCGUGGACCCACUGUGUCGUCUGCUUGCCUGUUGCCUCCUUCCGUCCGUCCGUCCGUCCGCAGCUCUUCUGCCCCUUUGGCCAGAAGCUGUGGCCUGAGGAAGAGGAGACGCGGCAAGCAGCCAGGAGUCAGUGCUCGAUGCUCUGCGCCACAGGCACAGGCCGCCCUGCUUAAGGCUGUGGCUGUGGUUCCCACUGUCCCGGGCGGGGCGUGGGCCAGGCCCCAGCGGGCGCUGAGAAGGUGCCGAGAGCAGAGGGUCUGAUCUGGAGUUUUCACCUCCGCAGUCUCGGGGGCCGUCCUGGCAUCGAGAAUGUUGCCUCCAGGCCUCUGCUUCUCCGGCCUGGAGGGGAGACCUUCCAGCCGACGGGAGACCUUCUAGCUGAUGGGAUCCCGGGUUGGGGUGGGGCGUUCCCAUCACCACCUUUCUCUGUGCUCGCCCACCGGAAGCUCUUACUUUCUGCUCUCCAAGUGGGUUUGGCAAAUCCCCUUGCCCUUCCUUGGGAAAAAUGUUGGUCCACCAGAGUCUAAACCCCCAGGGUUCGCUCACGGCAAGCUUUUGGAUGCUUUCAUUCUUCCUACAAACGUGCACCUGCCAUGAGGCUCCUGGCCUGAUGCUCUCAUGGCCACGUGUCCGGGGGAGACCCUGACUCGAGGGGGGUGGGCGACACCCAAGUACCUUGCCCAAACUCACUGACAUUGACAGUGGCCUGCAGUUUGAAUCAGUACAGAGCCCCCUGCAGUGAUGCCCCCUGGAGGUUCCGUGACACGGAGGAAUUUAUCAUCUGAUGAGGGCGACAUUUCAAGUAAGCAGGCUAUGUUGAGCACUGGAUUUUGGACAGCUGGCUGGCCUGGGGGACCACAUUGCCUGAAGAGGAGCCUCCCACCCAGUGGGCCCCAGCUGGACUAAAGAUUCCGUGUGAGAAAAUCAGACCGGAACACUGCAGAAGGAGGCAGCGGAGAGUGUUUUGUUUUCUUGGGGAUCUUAGGGACGAGGUAGAACGGACACUGCUGCCUCGGAGGUUUAAACCACACGGGCUGAUUCCUCCCUCGGGCUCUGUGUCCAGCGCAGGUCAGCGGACCCUCAGGACCCAGGCCGCCCAAGGCUCCGCCGUCUGGGACACACAGCGGGAGGAGAGCCUGGCGAGUCACACACUGGCUCCUCCACAUUUUGGGUCAGAGGUGACACUUGUCACUCCUGCUCAAAGCCCAUUGGUCGGAACCAGUCACGUGACGCUGCGAGGGCAGGGCCGGUUUGGGAGCAGGUUGAACAUGUAUGAAAGCUACCGUUCCUGCCACAGACACUAUCCCAGCACAAGAAAACCUGCGCUGAAAUGGACCAUGUUUGGGGACGAGGACAUGAGCAGAACCGAUCCGAGAGCCAGAAGUGGGAGGGGAUUCUCAGAAGCACCUUCAAGAACUGGGUCCCGUCCCAGGCGGUCUCAGGGGCGGGAUAGUGAAUGCGUUUCUGGGGGGCGAGGUGAGAUGCUCCCAGAAUCCGCUGGGGCUGUGUGCCAGGGUGGAAUGAACCCAAGAGAAGGGGGCUCUGGAAGCCAGGAAGUGGGAGGCAGGACGUGCCGCAGCCCGGCCUUGGGGGGGAGACGUGGACCUCUCCACCUGCCCUCCGGUUAUUCCGACUCCGUGAGGGCCUGCACGGGGCUUUGCCGCUUCUGUAAACGGACGUGAUUCCCUGGAAUUCUCCUGGGUGGUUAAUUUCAUGUGUUACCUUGGCUGGGCCAGUGUCCAGAUAUCUGUUCAGGUGCUAUUCCUCGGAAGGUGUUUUUGGACGAGAUUAGCCAUUCAGUCGGUGGACUUAAUGCAGGUGGGCCUCACCCAGUCCGUUGCAGGGAGAGAACCAAGACUGACCUCCCCCGGGCAAGAAGGAAUCCUGCCAGCAGCCGGCCUUCGGGACCUGGGCCGCAGCUCUUCCUUGGGUCUCCAGCCUGCCGGCCCGCCCUGCAGAGUUUGGACUCAACUAAGUGAGCCAAUUCCUUUAGAGGAAUCUUUAUGCAUGACCUGUUGGUUGUGUUUCUCUGGACAAACCCUGACCAAUACGGCUCCCCACAGGCCGCCGGGCACAGGGAGAGGUGAGUCCCCCAGGGGACUGGGGGGCUGUUACGGGGGGGUGGGCACUGGCAGCCAAAGAGGCAGGCACCCUCAGGGCAUCAGACGCAGGAGCUCUGCCCGAGUGUAGCCAGCUGGCAGUUGGCUGUGUGAAGCUACUGGGAUGACAGAACACGCGAGGUGUUAUUUUUAAGUGUCUGUAUGGAGAGUUAGGAGUCUGCUUGUCAAUCCUGGGACGUGAGCGGGAUUCCAAGUCUUUAGCUGCCAGGCCCUUCUGCAUCAUCUUGGCCUCGCUGGAUCUUCAUCUGCACGUGGAGGCCGACGGCCCUGGGGCUGUCACUGCUGUGCCCUGUGGGGCGGGAGCGGGGCCCUCGCCGUGUCUCCUCAGGGUGGAAAGGGACAGGAGGCCCCCUUUGCGGGGUGGGGGGGGUGUGCGUGCAGGUUUCCAGGUGCAGGUGAAGCCAGGGCUGCGGGGCUGAUUCUGGGAGCAAGGGUUUGAAAGGUGAGGGCUUCCUUUACAGGUGCCGGAGGCCCUGCCUCCCUGGCUAGUGGAGGAGAGGAGCUGCCCCUGCUGGCUGCCCCCACUGGCUGCCCCCGCCGGCUGAGCAGCGGGAGCCCAGGUGCUGGUUUGCUCUUUUGCUCACUUCCUAUGUCUCGCCACCCCCCGGCCUCAGGGCACCCUGGCCUCAGGACUGUGCCGUGAAAGGCAGGUGGAAGGAGGGAAGGCAGGUGACACCAGAAGAGGUCCCUGUUCAGCCUGGCUGGCGAGGGAGGGGCGGCGUGCAGAAAAGGGAAGGAAAGAUAGCCAGGGCCGGUGAACCCCGAUUUGUGCGCCAGUCCCGUCCCCAGCAUCUGUGAGUCAGGGGCCCUUAACCUGCUCCCAUGGAAGCCGGGGCCGCACUGGCACUUUCUCUUUGCCUGGAGAGUUAGCUGCCUGCGAGCCCGCAGGGAAACCAUGGCGGAGAGCAUCCAGAUGCGUGUGUUGCCUUUGAGUUUAUUUAUUUGUCUCGAUUUAUUCCAGCGACAUUGGAGCCUGGCGUGGUUAUCCUUCUCGCACUGAUUGAAGACCGAGGCCUGGGAGGCGGGCAGGGAGGGAGGCGGGGGAGGGGUUCCUAGCUCCAUCUGAUUUAAAGCACCUUUAGCGGGGUGGCGCAGUGAAAAGGAUGUGGCUAAAACAAAUAAAAAUCAUAGCAGGAUCAAAGUAC